GUUGAGGACUCGCUGUGUGGCAGUUCCCCAGCCCUGGGCUCAGUCAGCGUCUUGUCAGUGCCUGGUGAGCACCGCAGGAGCGCCCUGGAGCCAGGUGCUGCUGUCCAGCCCCAGCCCUGAUGCAUCCAUGGCUAAAUUCUUCAUUCCGAGGACAGGAGGACAGAAUUUCCCUGAAGAAUAUCAGGGAGCAAGGCCUCACCUCUUAAAACUUCCACCAGCUACUGUCAGGACCACAUGCUGGGGACCAACCCUUCAUCUCAUGGGCCAUUGGAGGACAUUCAAGAUCAAAAGAAUAGCAUGAAUUUUUUUUUUUGAAGAAACUGCUUCCCAGUGGCUCUAAUAAUUACAUCCCCACUAGCAAUGUACGAGUGGUCCUGUCUCUUCCUCUUCAGCAGCAGAGGUUGGAGACUAUUUUCAUUUGAACUACAUUUACAGGUGUGUAUGAUCUAAGUGUG